GAAAAUCUUUCCUUUUACUUCCUCUCUGCUCAUGAUGCUCCUGAACUAUUCUCCAGCAUAAAAUCCACCUUCCCUUAUCUAAACAUGACAAUUUAUCCCUUCAAUUCGAACCGCGUUCGCGGUAAGAUAUCAAAGUCCAUUAGACAAGCCUUGGAUCAACCUUUGAAUUAUGCAAGGAUAUAUCUUGCAGAUACAAUACCAGAGAAUGUACAACGUGUGAUAUAUUUAGAUUCUGACCUUGUUGUUGUCGAUGAUAUAGCUAAACUUUGGGGUGUAGACAUGGAAGGGAAAAUAGUAGCUGCUCCUGAAUAUUGCCAUGCAAAUUUCACAUUGUAUUUCACAAAACAGUUUUGGUCUGACCCUGUUCUGUCAAAGACAUUUGAGGGAAGAAAGCCUUGUUAUUUCAACACAGGGGUUAUGGUGAUGGAUGUGAAUAAAUGGAGGAAAGAAAAGUAUACAGAGAAAGUGGAGGAAUGGAUGGAUGUGCAGAAACAACAUAAGAGGAUAUAUCAUUUGGGUUCUCUUCCACCAUUUUUGUUGGUUUUGGCAGGGAAUAUUAAAGCAGUUGAUCAUAGAUGGAACCAACAUGGUUUAGGUGGAGAUAACCUUGAAGGUAAAUGUAGAAGCUUACACCCUGGUCCUAUUAGUUUAUUGCAUUGGAGUGGAAAGGGUAAACCAUGGUUAAGGUUAGAUUCUAGAAAGCCAUGCAUCGUGGACCAUCUAUGGGCUCCUUAUGAUCUCUAUCGAUCCUCCAGACACUUUUUUGAAGAAUAAUUAAAGAGGUCAUUAAAAACAUUAAGGAAUUAAUGUGAAUGUAAAUUGAUCUUCUAUCAGUGCGGCAGCUGAAAGACCCCCUUAGUUUAAAGAGAAAUUUUUUAUCACUAAUCUAACGGUCUGUACACUGCAGUUACAUAUUUUCAUUUUUUUAAUGAGAAGGGGUUGUUGGAUAUUUCCAGUUUUCUAACUCAAAUUUGGCUGACGGGAAAGGAACUAAAUCUCCAAAAGCUUGCAGCUUGAUGGGCAGCAACAUUGGAGUUGUAAAUUCUCUCUUUUUUUUUUUUUGUCCCUUUCUCUAUCUUUAGUAUUUUUUGGUUUCAUAGUGAUUGUAAAAGCAUAAACAAUAUGCAAGUUAGGCUGAUUAGUCUAACACUAAAAAAUUGUUAUUAUCUGGGUCAGUGCUAAUAGCUUCAGCUUUUCACAAAAUGCGCCCAAUUUUGGUCUUGUAAAUAAAUAUUAUCACAUUUCUACAUUUUUAUGUAAAUCUAGAGUAGAGAAAUUAUGUAUAGACACCUUUUUUUUUUACACCCAACACCUCCUAUGUGUAUAAAAAUAUAAAUAUAAUGUUUUCUCUCUUACCUUUCCCUGUGUUAUACACCUUGGUCCCCAUGCAUAUACAACCGACUUGUACGAAGUGUGUCUAUAUAUCAUUUCUCAUCCGGCAUAUGGUGCGCGAGUAGCGCAUGAAGUGAAAGAUUCUUCCUUCAUAGGUUUUCCAACCUUAGCUAGAACAGCACAGUAGCCCCUGCAGAGUAAAUCAUAUCAAGUGACAUAAAAGCAUAUCUUGUGUAUUUGAAUAAUGCAAUUGAAAAUUUUACAAAAUUUCAAAAUUCCAGUUCAGAAAGGCAGACAUACAUAUUUCAUGUUUAUAUUUUUAGAAAAAAAAGGAUGACUUAUAGUAUUUUGUUGGAAUUAGGAUGGCUUAUAUUUAAUGUGGAGCACAGAAUGAUAAGAUCAUAACUAAUUAAAUUAGCCUGAAUUUUGAUUUCCUAACUUGUUAAACAAUGCAGUUUCUGCCAAUUGAACAUAAAUGGGAUGACAUGGACAAACAUGCUGCAGCCAAGCGUUUUGGACACGUCAUCAUUUAAUUCAAUAGGGACUGAAAACAUAAUUUGAAAACCAAAAACAUAUAUAACUAAAACUUAAGUAUGUUUUAAGCAAGCAACAAUGUUUGUUCCUUUAAAAAUCUCUUUUAGCCUUUGCUUCCCUUCUUCCAACUCUUUAUGUGGAGAUAUGCCUCAAAUCAGCAACAAUUUGGAGUUAGUUAUGACAAAGUAGUUAUAGUUAAGCUAACAGUUUUAGCAUACUACAUACAAUUGUAAAGUGUAUUUGUUGCUGUAAUGUGAGAAAUGAAAGAGAGAACAUUCUCGGUUUUAAUUUCUGGUUUUAUAAUUGGUAGUUUUCUGUUUUGAUAGUUAAUUCUUGUUGCAGAUCUCAAUAUUGUUUUAACACUUUGAAACAUGCAUAAACGAAAUCAAACUCAGAGAAUCUAAAAAGUGAAAACAUACAUACGCUUGGUUGAAGUUCAAAUAUAACUUGAGCUCUGAAAAAUUACAGAAUGCAGCAAAAUAAUCAUAGUAAUUAAAAACAGAGGAUGAUGUUAACAAACAAUUGAUAUUAAGAUAAAGAUCUUGACCAAGGAAUCUAUAAUUACUUUUGUUUGCAUAGCCACCUAAUGCAGAAGAAAAUAAACAAGAAAACUAAUAAGAUCGAUAACAUAGGGUUAGGAAAGGUAGAAAUUAUAUAAACAUUUAGAAUUAAUUCAUAAAAAACGAAGAAAAUAUUACUAACCAAAAGAGAAAAAAAGAGCAAAUGUUGAUUGAAAGAAGAUCCUCGUCAGGUAAAAUCAAAAUCAAGAACUCGUUCAGCAUUAACUUCCUAAACAAUAGUUUCAAAUGGAAACGGUGAAACUUUGUUUUCAUUUUAAAAUAGGCAUUGAUGUAUUCUGGAUAGCAAUAGCAAUGCCUAUUUUAAAAAUGAAAAGAACAGUGUUCUGUUUCCAUUAGAAUUAAUGAAUAAGCUACUGAAAAGGGAAGGCAACGCAGUCAUGAAUUUGAUUUCAGCUGAGGAGGAGAGUGCCGCCACCGUUAUCACGUUGUUUCAUCUCUGAUCUAUUUUUCAGCCGUAGAGUCCGGUCCUUAUAUUUAUAGUAACACUUA
rnacentral:lncRNA from 1 species